GGUGGGGGCGGGCGGCGCCAUGGAGGAGCGGGAAGGCGGCUUCAGGAAGGAGACGGUGGAGCGGCUGCUGCGACUGCACUUUCGCGACGGGAGGACGCGAGUAAACGGCGACGCGCUGCUGCUGAUGGCGGAGCUGUUGAAGGUCUUCGUGCGAGAAGCGGCGGCGCGAGCAGCGCGACAGGCACAGGCGGAGGACCUGGAGAAGGUGGACAUCGAGCACGUGGAGAAGGUGCUGCCUCAGCUGCUUCUAGAUUUCUAGAGACGUGGUGAAGCAGAAGCGACAUGGCAGCCGCUGGCAGAAGAUCCCGACCUGGUGGCUCAGGCCAGCUCUAUGAAGAACAGCGUCACCUCCUUUCUCUGCCCUCUGCUUCUGCUUCCCGUUUCCUUUACCACGGCUCUGAUGGCAGAAGCUGCGUUUGAACAGAGGCUGCCACUCACUUGGUUUGCUGGGCUGUAACUGGUUUCCCUCUCGCUGCCUUCCUUCCCUAACGGUGUGCCUAACAGCAUGGUAAAGCUGCCGCUGCUUUCUCAGCUAAUGUGAGAAACAGGUGCUGCUUCGCACGCUGAGAGGCAUGGAAAGACUUAAUGGCUGGAAAUGUCAUCCAAACAUCAGGCUCUCCUCAUCUCAGCGGGCGGCAGUGGCAGAAACUUCGGGUCCGGCUCCAAGCCUGGCUAAUGAAUAGGUUGUUAACAGGAGCUCCGUUACAGGCUCUGGCCAAAAGCAGAACGAAAGGAAAAAGGACAGAAUAACAAACAGCAUGUGUGAGAAUCCCACAUCAUGGGACAGCUCGGCCCCUGGGCCUGCAGGGGGGCAGGAUGGGGGAGCUGUGAAAUAGGAAACCUCGCACAUGGAAGAAGGGACCCACACAACUGAACCGGCUUUGUUGGGAAGCGCGGAGCUCCCUGCAUGAAAAGCAGCUGACGGCCGUGUGUCCAAAGGGCUGCGCAGUGCUGCUGGCUGCCUGCAGCCUUUGAUUAGUAAUAAGGAGCGGUUUUUUUUCCAGCUGACAGCUGCAGCAGGCACAGCUCAAUGGGUCGCUGUAGUGCCUCAGCCGAGAACUAUCAAGGUCAUCACUCUGGAUGGAAGCCACGUGGAAAUUUCGACCAAACCCACAAUUUAAUACACAUUCUUUUUGGUGACAGUACCAGCCGAAGCAGUGCCCCAACCCUCUGAACUGUGGCCUCUCUGCCAAGAGAACUGUUUGUGCAGCUGUACAACGAAACCAGUGAAAUAAUUGACCUAGUUCGACUUUCAGCCCCACCACCAUACGGUAAAAAGGGCAACAGCAAAAAAUGCAGAUAAUACUACCUCUGAGUGCCCAACACCCCGAGGGACGAGUUAGAUACUACAGCAGGAGAGAGCAAAACCAAGCCAGAAUCUGCACACAUUGUUCUGCAGCGUGGUAGGAGUCUCUGUAGCAAGUGCCUUAGUGAAGAGCCUGCACACACCACAGCCUCUGGUCCCUUUACAAGAAUCCACCCCUACUGUUUUGUUUUUUUAACCUUAUCUGGAUUCCAAAUCAUCUCCCCCCAUUCUGACUCUUGGUGACACACAAAGGGAUCUAAAAAUGCUCGCUUCACUUCCCCUGCCCAUACCGCCAGCAUUCCUGACUGAAGAGGACAGCAGAUUUGGAUGUUAGUGGUAAAGUGGUAUUUUAAUAGCAGUGGCUAACUUCUUUUCUUGCACAGGGGAGUAAGACCUGAUCUAGUUGUUGGAGAUCCCCAUUUUCAUUCUAUUAAAACAGGAGUAGAUUAAACUUUGAUGCAUCACUGUGUCACAGAAGGGGCAUGCACAGGCAGAACUGAAGCAGUGCACACAGCUGCAUGGGCUCAGCUGCAGGCAGUCCAACCCUCACCAGAAACCUCUUCUGACUGGCACAGCCACUAUUAGGGUAUGUUUGCGUAAACCAGUUGUAUCUUGAUUUUAAAAUGAUUAGAAAGUUAACUCUGGGGAUCUGGUUAAACCCAGUAUUGGUUCUGCAGCUGUUGCUCAUCCCAGCCACAGAGAAGAAACUGGGCCAAGAUUUGUUAGUGCUUCUGUCA